rnacentral:rRNA from 1 species
GUCUUUUUGAUUAUAAUUUAAAGUCUAACCUGCCCACUGAAUUUUUUAAAGGGCCGCGGUAUUUUGACUGUGCAAAGGUAGCAUAAUCAUUAGUCUUUUAAUUGAAGGCUUGUAUGAAUGGUUGGAUGAGGUAAUAACUGUCUCAAAUUAAUAAAUAAUAAAAUUUUAUUUUUAAGUUAAAAAGCUUAAAUAUAAUUAGAGGACGAGAAGACCCUAUAGAUCUUUAUAAAUUAAUAAAUUUUAAUUUUUUAGUUAAAAUAUGUUUUUAUCUGUUAAUUUAUUUUAUUGGGGUGAUAAAAAAAUUUAAAAAACUUUUUUUUUAAUUAAACAAUGAUUUUUGAUUAAUUGAUCCAUUAUUAGUGAUUAAAAGAAUAAGUUACCUUAGGGAUAACAGCGUAAUUUUUUUGAAGAGUUCAUAUCGAUAAAAAAGAUUGCGACCUCGAUGUUGAAUUAAAGGUUAAUUUUAGGUGUAGAAGUUUAAAGUUUUGGUCUGUUCGACCAUUAAAUC